AGUGUGUCUGUGUCGUGAGUCGGUUCUCCAGCUAACGUGCAUGGAUUAGACAGCGUCCCUGCACCACAGUCACAGAAGAACCUGCCAGUGGAGAAGAAGAAAUUAGACGGUACAGCAGAGUGCAAAAAACAUGUCUCACCAGAGAAUGGGGUCGUUGGCCAAUUCACUGAAGCGUUUGCACACGCAAGCAGAGCGGCACAAGUCCUGCUCCAACAGGUACGAGAAGAUCUUCAGUACCACCUCAUCUGGGAGCUUCUCCUGCAAAUACUGUUCUGCUGGAGCUGCUAAAGGACGGAUGACCACAAAGUAGGAAAAUGUUUAAUGGACUAGGUGUGGAAGGUAGAGUAAGAUGGAAGUAACUAUGCUAGAUGAAGAUAUUAUCCAUUAACAUUCAUGUGAUAAAGAAUUUU